GAUGAACGCUGGCGGCGUGCCUAAUACAUGCAAGUCGAGCGAACAGAUGAGAAGCUUGCUUCUCUGAUGUUAGCGGCGGACGGGUGAGUAACACGUGGGUAACCUACCUAUAAGACUGGGAUAACUCCGGGAAACCGGGGCUAAUACCGGAUAAUAUUUUGAACCGCAUGGCUCAAUAGUGAAAGACGGUUUCGGCUGUCACGUAUAGAUUGACCGGCGCCGUAUUAGCUAGUUGGUAAGGUAAUGGCUUACCAAGGCGACGAUACGUAGCCGACCUGAGAGGGUGAUCGGCCACACUGGAACUGAGACACGGUCCAGACUCCUACGGGAGGCAGCAGUAGGGAAUCUUCCGCAAUGGGCGAAGGCCUGACGGAGCAACGCCGCGUGAGCGAUGAAGGUCUUCGGAUCGUAAAACUCUGUUGUUAGGGAAGAACAAAUUUGUUAGUAACUGAACAAGUCUUGACGGUACCUAACCAGAAAGCCACGGCUAACUACGUGCCAGCAGCCGCGGUAA
rnacentral:rRNA from 1 species